rnacentral:misc_RNA from 1 species
AACGCACAUUGCGCCCCCCUUAACCGGGAGGCAUGCCUGUCUGAGCGUCGAUUUAACUAUAAACCGUCACUGGUUUGUCCUGAGCCUUGCUGUACAGCAUCGCUUUGAAGGAAUCAGUCUCUUGAGCGGACAGGAUCCUGUAGGGCUGACCGUUCUCCGACUCUAAAAUAUCUUGACACGACCUCAGAUCAGGUAGGACUACCGCCUGAACUUAA